rnacentral:rRNA from 1 species
GACGAACGCUGGCGGCGUGCUUAACACAUGCAAGUCGAGCGGUAAGGCCCUUUCGGGGGUACACGAGCGGCGAACGGGUGAGUAACACGUGGGUGACCUGCCUUUAGCUCUGGGAUAAGCCUGGGAAACUGGGUCUAAUACCGGAUAUGACUCCGCGGUGCAUGCUGUGGGGUGGAAAGCCUUGUGCGGCUGGAGAGUGGGCCCGCGGCCUAUCAGCUUGUUGGU